GUUAGGGUUGGGCUUGGAGCUAGGAUUUUUCUGAGUGUAAUGAACCAACUCCUGAGUCUCUAGGACGUUCUGGUUAAUGAACCAACUCCUGAGUCUCUAGGACGUUCUAAAAAAUUUGAUUUUUUCCCAUAGGAAUGCAUGGGUUAGGGUUAGGGUUGGGCUUGGAGCUAGGAUUUUUCUGAGUGCAAUGAACCAACUCCCGAGUCUCUAGGACGUUCCUAAAAAAAUUUGAUUUUUUCCCAUAGGAAUGCAUGGGUUAGGGUUAGGGUUAGGGUUGGAGCUAGGGUUAGGGUUAGGGUUAGGGUUGGAGUUAGGGUUAGUGUUGGAGCUAGGGUUAGGGUUGGGCUUGGAGCUAGGAUUUUUCUGAGUGUAAUGAACCAACUCCUGAGUCUCUAGGACGUUCCUAAAAAAAUUUGAUUUUUUCCCAUAGGAAUGCAUGGGUUAGGGUUAGGGUUAGGGUUGGAGCUAGGGUUAGGGUUAGGGUUAGGGUUGGAGUUAGGGUUAGUGUUGGAGCUGGGGUUAGGGUUGGGCUUGGAGCUAGGAUUUUUCUGAGUGUAAUGAACCAACUCCUGAGUCUCUAGGACGUUCCUAAAAAAAUUUGAUUUUUUCCCAUAGGAAUGCAUGGGUUAGGGUUAGGGUUAGGGUUGGAGCUAGGGUUAGGGUUAGGGUUAGGGUUGGAGUUAGGGUUAGUGUUGGAGCUAGGGUUAGGGUUGGGCUUGGAGCUAGGAUUUUUCUGAGUGUAUUGAACCAACUCCUGAGUCUCUAGGACGUUCCUAAAAAAAUUUGAUUUUUUUCCAUAGGAAUGCAUGGGUUAGGGUUAGGGUUAGGGUUGGAGCUAGGGUUAGGGUUAGGGUUAGGGUUGGAGUUAGGGUUAGUGUUGGAGCUAGGGUUAGGGUUGGGCUUGGAGCUAGGAUUUUUCUGAGUGUAAUGAACCAACUCCUGAGUCUCUAGGACGUUCCUAAAAAAAUUUGAUUUUUUCCCAUAGGAAUGCAUGGGUUAGGGUUAGGGUUAGGGUUAGGGUUGGAGCUAGGGUUAGGGUUAGGGUUAGGGUUGGAGUUAGGGUUAGUGUUGGAGCUAGGGUUAGGGUUGGGCUUGGAGCUAGGAUUUUUCUGAGUGCAAUGAACCAACUCCCGAGUCUCUAGGACGUUCCUAAAAAAAUUUGAUUUUUUUCCCAUAGGAAUGCAUGGGUUAGGGUUAGGGUUAGGGUUGGAGCUAGGGUUAGGGUUAGGGUUAGGGUUGGAGUUAGGGUUAGUGUUGGAGCUAGGGUUAGGGUUGGGCUUGGAGCUAGGAUUUUUCUGAGUGUAAUGAACCAACUCCUGAGUCUCUAGGACGUUCCUAAAAAAAUUUGAUUUUUUCCCAUAGGAAUGCAUGGGUUAGGGUUAGGGUUAGGGUUGGAGCUAGGGUUAGGGUUAGGGUUAGGGUUGGAGUUAGGGUUAGUGUCGGAGCUGGGGUUAGGGUUGGGCUUGGAGCUAGGAUUUUUCUGAGUGUAAUGAACCAACUCCUGAGUCUCUAGGACGUUCCUAAAAAAAUUUGAUUUUUUCCCAUAGGAAUGCAUGGGUUAGGGUUAGGGUUAGGGUUGGAGCUAGGGUUAGGGUUAGGGUUAGGGUUGGAGUUAGGGUUAGUGUUGGAGCUAGGGUUAGGGUUGGGCUUGGAGCUAGGAUUUUUCUGAGUGUAUUGAACCAACUCCUGAGUCUCUAGGACGUUCCUAAAAAAAUUUGAUUUUUUUCCAUAGGAAUGCAUGGGUUAGGGUUAGGGUUAGGGUUGGAGCUAGGGUUAGGGUUAGGGUUAGGGUUGGAGUUAGGGUUAGUGUUGGAGCUAGGGUUAGGGUUGGGCUUGGAGCUAGGAUUUUUCUGAGUGCAAUGAACCAACUCCCGAGUCUCUAGGACGUUCCUAAAAAAAUUUGAUUUUUUUCCCAUAGGAAUGCAUGGGUUAGGGUUAGGGUUAGGGUUGGAGCUAGGGUUAGGGUUAGGGUUAGGGUUGGAGUUAGGGUUAGUGUUGGAGCUAGGGUUAGGGUUGGGCUUGGAGCUAGGAUUUUUCUGAGUGCAAUGAACCAACUCCCGAGUCUCUAGGACGUUCCUAAAAAAAUUUGAUUUUUUCCCAUAGGAAUGCAUGGGUUAGGGUUAGGGUUAGGGUUGGAGCUAGGGUUAGGGUUAGGGUUAGGGUUGGAGUUAGGGUUAGUGUUGGAGCUAGGGUUAGGGUUGGGCUUGGAGCUAGGAUUUUUCUGAGUGUAAUGAACCAACUCCUGAGUCUCUAGGACGUUCCUAAAAAAAUUUGAUUUUUUCCCAUAGGAAUGCAUGGGUUAGGGUUAGGGUUAGGGUUGGAGCUAGGGUUAGGGUUAGGGGGUUAGUUAGGGUUUGGAGCUAGGGUUAGGGUUGGGUUAGAUUUUUCUGAGUUAAUGAACCAACUCCUGAGUCUCUAGGACGUUCCUAAAAAAUUGAUUUUUUCCCAUAGGAAUGCAGUAGGUUAGGGUUAGGGUUGGAGCUAGGGUUAGGGUUAGGGUUAGGGUUGGAGUUAGGGUUAGUGUUGGAGCUAGGGUUAGGGUUGGGCUUGGAGCUAGGAUUUUUCUGAGUGUAAUGAACCAACUCCUGAGUCUCUAGGACGUUCCUAAAAAAAUUUGAUUUUUUCCCAUAGGGAAUGCUAGGGUUAGGGUUAGGGUUAGGUUGGAGUUAGGGUUAGUGUUGACUAGGGUUAGGGUUGGGCUUGGAGCUAGGAUUUUCUGAGGUUAGGGUUGGAGCUAGGGUUGGAGCUAGGGUUAGGGUUAGGGUUGGAGUUAGGGUUAGUGUUGGAGCUAGGGUUAGGGUUGGGCUUGGAGCUAGGAUUUUUCUGAGUGUAAUGAACCAACUCCUGAGUCUCUAGGACGUUCCUAAAAAAAUUUGAUUUUUUCCCAUAGGAAUGCAUGGGUUAGGGUUAGGGUUAGGGUUGGAGCUAGGGUUAGGGUUAGGGUUAGGGUUGGAGUUAGGGUUAGUGUUGGAGCUAGGGUUAGGGUUGGGCUUGGAGCUAGGAUUUUUCUGAGUGUAAUGAACCAACUCCUGAGUCUCUAGGACGUUCC